GACGAACGCUGGCGGCGUGCUUAACACAUGCAAGUCGAGCGGUAAGGCCCUUUCGGGGGUACACGAGCGGCGAACGGGUGAGUAACACGUGGGUGACCUGCCCUCAGCUCUGGGAUAAGCCUGGGAAACCGGGUCUAAUACUGGAUAUGACUCCAUGACGCAUGUUGUGGGGUGGAAAGCCUUGUGCGGCUGAGGAUGGGCCCGCGGCCUAUCAGCUUGUUGGUGGGGUGAUGGCCUACCAAGGCGACGACGGGUAGCCGGCCUGAGAGGGCGACCGGCCACACUGGGACUGAGACACGGCCCAGACUCCUACGGGAGGCAGCAGUGGGGAAUCUUGCGCAAUGGGCGAAAGCCUGACGCAGCGACGCCGC
rnacentral:rRNA from 1 species